rnacentral:tRNA from 1 species
GCAUCAGUAGCUCAGCGCCAGAGCGCCGACCUUGUAAGCCGGAAGCCGGAGGUUAAAUUCCUCCCUCAUGCU